rnacentral:rRNA from 1 species
GAUGAACGCUGGCGGCGUGCCUAAUACAUGCAAGUCGAGCGAACGGACGAGAAGCUUGCUUCUCUGAUGUUAGCGGCGGACGGGUGAGUAACACGUGGAUAACCUACCUAUAAGACUGGGAUAACUUCGGGAAACCGUAGCUAAUACCGGAGAAUAUUUUGAACCGCAUGGUUCAAAAGUGAAAGACGGUCUUGCUGUCACUUAUAGAUGGAUCCGCGCUGCAUUAGCUAGUUGGUAAGGUAACGGCUUACCAAGGCAACGAUGCAUAGCCGACCUGAGAGGAUGACCGGCCACACUGGAACUGAGACACGGUCCAGACUCCUACGGGAGGCAGCAGUAGGGAAUCUUGCGCAAUGGGCGAAAGCCUGACGGAGCAACGCCGCGUGAGUGAUGAAGGUCUUCGGAUCGUAAAGCUCUGUUAUUAGGGAAGAACAUAUGUGUAAGUAACUGUGCACAUCUUGACGGUACCUAAUCAGAAAGCCACGGCUAACUACGUG